rnacentral:lncRNA from 10 species
AAACACUAUCAACAAAGGUGGACGCCAGGAAAGCCUUCCCACUCCAAGAGAAAAACUAUUAUACAAAUGAUACAACCUGCUAUGGAAAAAAGAGAAAUAACAGAUAAGUAUACAAAGAAAAUACAAGAAAAACAUGAACAGUAAUAAUCUUAUCCAAAUGUUACUGAGAUAUUUUUGGAGUACUUAAUUUCAAUCUUUUUCCUAUAUGCAAACACACACAACUUUUCUCUAACAAAAAUCAGAUCAUACUGUACUAGCAAACACCCUACCUGAAAUCUGUAUAUCCAUUGCCUAUUGAUUAUGCCCAUUGCUUAACAUACUAUGUUUUAUUUAAUCAUUAUUUAAUUGUUGAGUAUGCAAGUUAUUUCUGAGUUUUCACUCAAGCUGUUUACGCUUAUUUCUGUCUGGGUGUGAAUGAAUCUUUGGCACAUUCCUCUAGCAAGUUGAUCAACAUCUGGUCUAAGAUAUUCUUCGGUGUUGGGUUUGUGCUGUCCACAUCAGCUUAGCAAUGUCUGCACAAAGACUCCUUCCCCCUCAAAAGUGCCAUUCAGACUUGCUGUGGGUAUAAGGGGAACAAUCUCAUUGAGGAGAAAGUUGUCAUUGUGGUUGAGAACAUGAACUUUGGAAUUGGAUAGAGCUGUGUGAAUUUGGCCUAAACUCCGAGUCUGCUUCCACAUCUGUAAAAUGUAGACACAAAUAGUUACUCAUAAGGUUCUGGUGGGGAUUAAAUGUGGUUAUACCUGUAAAGUCCUUAGCAUUAUGCCCAGCACAUAGUGAAGAUGUUCGAUAAAUGAUAACUAAACAAACAUUGUGUCCCCUCCCACUACAACCACACUGCUCUCCCUCACCUUACAGACUUUGCUGCUUGACAAUCUUGGGGUGGGGCUGCUGAAAACUGAAUCUCAAUUUAGGAAGCCAUGUUGUCCCAGGAUUAGGGUUAUUGGCCUCACAUAAGAAUCUCCAAAUCUGCAGAAUCUCAGGCCCCACCCAAAAACUAUUCAAUCAGAAACUACAUUUUCAAAAGAUAUCCCAGAUGAUUUGUAUGCAUAGUAAAGUUUGAGAAGGUUUUAGUCCAGGUAUUCAGGAAGUGAUGCUGGUUGUGUAUGGAGGACAGGGGCCCAGGAACUGAUGAAAUCUCUAGUUUGGAAUUCUCGAUAGCAUUUGCAUUCUUUUUUUUUUUUUUUAUCUCAAAUCCAUCACUCAGUAGCAAUGUGAUCUUCACAAAGCUCCCUUUACUUUUACCACCAUAGUGUUGUAGGAGAAGCUCUAUCUUCCAAGUCAGACAGAUCUGGGCUUCAAUUCCAGCUUUGUUAACUGGAGGACUUAUUAUUAGCUGGGAGGACUUGCGACAAAUCAUACCAACUUUCUGAGCCCAGUUUCCUUCCCUGUAAAAUGUAGAUAAUACACCUUUCUUGAGGUGUUACUAGAGAUAACCAAUGAUAAAGUGUUUGGGAAAUCUGGCAUAUCGUAGGGGUACAAUGAGUAAGUGGUUUGACUCCAAAGACCUGAGUUUGGAUCUCAGCUCCACAACUCACUUGGCUGAUUGCUUUCUUUCCCUGGACUCAAGUUUCAUCAUCUGUAAAACUGGCAUUUCAACCAAAUAACUUCUGAAGUCUCUCCCUCCUUUAAAGCUUGAUAUUACAAGGGCAAAUUUUAGUACAAAUAUCCAAAUCCUAACGGUAACUCACAAUUACAAAAGAGCUGAGUCUGUCAUUCACCUGUCAAAUUAUCUAAACUGCGUCUCAGUCAGGAGAUGUGAAAAGAAGGAUGGAUUUUCUAUGAAUGUUUUCUUUUUUUUUUUUGAGACGGAGUCUCGCUCUGUCGCCCAGGCUGGAGUGCAGUGGCG